GUGAAUCAUCGAAUUUUUGAACGCAAAUUGCGCUUCCUAGCAUCCUGGGAAGUAUGCCUGUUUGAGGGUCAGUUUUACUAUAAAAUCGGUCUAGUUACAAAUUGUGACGUUUCCGGGGUUUGGGCUAUCUUAACAUUUUUGGUUUAGAGGCUUAAUAUUGAACUAUUUUUACAAUUCUUAAACGUACAUAAAUUUUUUUUAUCCGUAUAUUCUUAAUGCCAAAAUCUUAUUAGAUGCGAACACAUUGUUUGGCUUCGUGUCCAUAAAAUUCUA
rnacentral:misc_RNA from 1 species